UUUCCCAUUACCACCAUUGUCGCCGUUGUCAUUGCCAUUAACUCUAUCUUCCUUGUGAUCCAUUUCACAUACGCCCCUUCCGUCGGACUUGGAAGACCCAAGCUUGUCUUUCCCUAGACCAAGCUUCACCACGGACUCAACUACCGUCAUGGCUUCCGACAGUUUUUGGACACCUCUUUGUUCCACCUCCUGUCUAACCCACGGCUUCAAUCCCUUUUGAAAAGCAAGCAAUGCUUCUUCAUCGGUCACAUCUGAAAUUUGGAGCAUGAGUUCCUUGAACUCUUGAACAUACUCCCUCACUGUGCCCCGUUGCAUUAUCUCUUGCAACUUUGCCCGAGCUUCUUCCUCGCUAAAUUCUGGGUAAAACUGUCC
rnacentral:lncRNA from 1 species